rnacentral:lncRNA from 1 species
AGAUAAUCUUUCUCUUCCACUCCUCUUUGUAUGAUAUAGAUGCAGGUGGUUUGGUGAUCACAAUCCUCCAUGAUGGAGCUAUGAAGGCGGCCAACGGUAGUAGCUUCUCCAGUGGCCAAACAGGUCUGUAUUUCUUUGACACUCCAAACAUCGGUCCACUUAACAUCAGACCAUUCCAUACAUUCUUUUGCCUUAGACAUAUGAGUGUAGAAAUUGCACCACCUAAUGACUCACCAUACAGGAAAGCAGGGAGAUUCGGGUGAUCAGCACGAGCAGAGUCAAAGUACUGUAUACAGUCUUGGACUAAAGGUUGAAUACACGGUAUGUAACCAGGUGAGCCUUCUGAGUAACCGUGACCUUGUAGGUCAAGAGAACAAACGAAAAAUCCAGCUUUCACCAUAGCUACUGCAUUUAGCUCAAAAAGCCAACUGCUUUCGGACGUAUAACCAUGAAUCAUGCCUACAAGACCUCUUAACUGAUUACUUGAUUCAGGCUGCCAAGAUUGUGUGAAUAUCUUCAUGUUUUGUUUGUUUAACAUGAAACUUUGUUUGUGCAUGAUUUUAUGUUGCUUGUAAAACUCUUCUCUUGUCAAGUUACCAUAAGGGCUGUUCUCAUUAGAUUGGAAAAUUGGGUGAGACAU